rnacentral:rRNA from 1 species
GGGUUGUGAGGUUAAGCGACUAAGCGUACACGGUGGAUGCCCUGGCAGUCAGAGGCGAUGAAGGACGUGCUAAUCUGCGAUAAGCGUCGGUAAGGUGAUAUGAACCGUUAUAACCGGCGAUUUCCGAAUGGGGAAACCCAGUGUGAUUCGUCACACUAUCGUUAACUGAAUACAUAGGUUAACGAAGCGAACCGGGGGAACUGAA